rnacentral:rRNA from 1 species
UGGGGAAUCAUGGUCAAUGGGCGAAAGCCUGAACCUGCGACGCCGCGUGAGUGAUGAAGGUGGUAAGAUCGUAAAACUCUUUUCAGGGAUCUUAAAGCCUGUCUGUCAACAACAGGCAGGUCUGACUCUCCCUGGAAGAAGCCCCAGCCAACUACGUGCCAGCAGCUGCGGUAAUACGUAGGGGGCGAGCGUUAUUCGGACUUACUGGGUGUAAAGGGUAUGUAGGCGGCCCUUCAAGUCGCGUGUCAAAGUCCAGUGCUCAACGCUGGGUGUGCGCGCGAUACUGACGGGCUUGAGGGCUGGAGAGGUGAGCGGAAUUCCCGGUGUAGUGGUAAAAUACGUAGAGAUCGGGAGGAACACCAGCGGCGCAGGCGGCUCACUGGACAGUUUCUGACGCUAAGAUACGAAAGCGUGGGGAGCAAACA